rnacentral:rRNA from 1 species
AUGGCCGCCAUCAAGAUCAAGCUCGUCGUGGACAGGUCGUCUAACCGCGUGCUAUUCGCCGACGCCGGCUCCGACUUCGUCGACGUCCUCCUCACCUUCCUGACGCUCCCCCUCUCCGCCGUCCAGCUCGCCGCAGGCGCGUCCUCGCCAGGCUGCCUGAAAAACCUCUGCGCCAGCGUCGCCGGCCUCCGUGGCGCCAACUAUCACAAGGUUUCUCUCAGUCUUGCUGUCAAUGUGUUGGUCAUUCAUAUCCAUGAGGAAUUUCUAUAUGGUCGAUCGCAGGGACAACGCCUCCAGCAGUGUGGUUGCAGGUGCUUGGAGGUCAUGGCUAGGCUGGUGCAUGUGUACAACCAAACAUCACGCACAGAGGUGUUCUCCAAGUGGAAAGAGAGGUUCGUGAUCAGCGACGAUCUGGUGAUCAAGCCGGCGGCGACGAGCACCGUCUUGUCUUUUCUUCCGGGUUUCUACGGACACAGGAUCGAAGAUGCCUACGAGGUGGAGGUGGACGUCGGAUGGACCCAGGUGGUUUCCUUGCUCAAGGCAUGUGCCUCGUCCACCACCAUAUUCACCGAUGUGUUUCUCGCGAAAAGAACCGAUGCUUUGAUGAGCACCACAUCGGUGCUCACGAUUCACAAGCCUCGGCGUCAAGAAGCCGACAAAGACCCUGGUCCGCAGAUGAGCAUCAAACUUUUCUUCGACAGGGAGGACAGCAAGGUGAUGUACGUCGAGUGCAAGCACGACUUCGUGGACCUGCUCCUCAGUUUCCUGACCUACCCCAUGGGAUGCAUCCUCAAGAACCUGGCCGGCACCUCUCACCGGUUCCGCAGCUUCAACAAUCUUUACAGCAGCGCCGACAGUCUCAAUAUGUCGAGUAAAUAG